ensembl:rRNA 5S_rRNA 5S ribosomal RNA
GCUUAUGGCCAUACCAGCCUGGCUAUGCCCGUUCUUGUCUGAUCUCGGAAGCUAAGCAGGUUUGGGCCUGGUUAGUGCCUGGAUGGGAGACCGCCUGGGAAUGCCAGGUACUCUAAGCU